ACGGGGCAUUGCCUCAGUACGGCGAGUGAAGCGGCAAAAGCUCAAAUUUGAAAUCCUUCGGGAGUUGUAAUUUGUAGGUUGGGAGACCCCGCGGCUAGUGGCACCAAGUCCCUUGGAACAGGGCGCCUUAGAGGGUGAGAGCCCCGUAGGUACCACAAUACCGUCUUGUGUCUCCUCUCCAAAGAGUCGAGUUGUUUGGGAAUGCAGCUCAAAGUGGGUGGUAAAUUCCAUCUAAAGCUAAAUACCGGCGAGAGACCGAUAGCGAACAAGUACAGUGAUGGAAAGAUGAAAAGCACUUUGAAAAGAGAGUGAAACAGUACGUGAAAUUGUUGAAAGGGAAGGGCUUGCAAGCAGACACGGCCUUCGUGCCGGGCCAGCAUCGGUUGCUAGGGGUGGAUAAGGAACAAGGAAUGUAGCUCCUCGGAGUAUUAUAGCCUUGCGCGAUACACCCACUGGCGACCGAGGCCUGCGGUAUUCUUUACCUAGGAUGCUGGCGUAAUGGUUGCAAGCCGCCCGUCUUGAAACMCGGACCAAA
rnacentral:rRNA from 1 species